CAGCAGUUUGAUAGUUAUUGCUUCUCAUAAUGGAAAUUGCAUUUAUGUUUUACAGGCAUCAACCAGACGAGGUGGAAUCUUAAAUAUUCCAGCAGCUUUUGGAAAUUUGCUGUCUAGUUUGUCUCGGUAGCUUCAUUCACCCUCUUGUGAGUUUGGUUAAACCACAGCUGCACCGAUCCUCUCAUGUAAUGGCAGGUUCCAGCUGUCCGAAGGAGAUCAAAGAUGGAAGAGAGAAGCCUGGCUGCCUCCAACCUGGAAAUUCAACGCAGUCCAUCGAUGUGGCUGCAGCGUCCGUGGGCCUUCAGGGUCUUUAAUAGCAAAUGUUGCACGUAGGACGUUGUUCACUUUCCAGGCUUUAUCUGUUUGUGUGACUACAGUGAUUCCACAGCGGAUCCCACUGUCAAGGAACAGCAGUGCAUCCCUUUGGAACUUUCUCCGGGCACUUGGGAAUGUGCAGGCAACUAGGUGUGGGUGAGCACAUCUCCACACCAGGGGAACUGUGGGCUCUCACAGGGCCGUUCCU
rnacentral:lncRNA from 1 species